rnacentral:rRNA from 1 species
GAUCAUGCUCAGAUUGAACGCUGGCGGCAGGCCUAACACAUGCAAGUCGAACGGUAACAGGAAGAAGCUUGCUUCUUUGCUGACGAGUGGCGGACGGGUGAGUAAUGUCUGGGAAACUGCCUGAUGGAGGGGGAUAACUACUGGAAACGGUAGCUAAUACCGCAUAACGUCGCAAGACCAAAGAGGGGGACCUUCGGGCCUCUUGCCAUCGGAUGUGCCCAGAUGGGAUUAGCUAGUAGGUGGGG